rnacentral:rRNA from 1 species
GGUUUUUUGAAUACAUAUAAUUUAAGAUUAGUUCUGCUCAAUGAUUAAAAUUAUUAAAUAGCCGCAGUAUUUUGACUGUGCUAAGGUAGCAUAAUCAAUUGUUUUUUAAUUGAAAACUGGAAUGAAGGAAUUGAUGAGAUUAAAGCUGUCUGUUAUUAAAAUGUUAAAAUUUAAAUUUUAAGUAAAAAUUCUUAAAUAAAAUUAUGGGACGAGAAGACCCUAUAGAAUUUGAUAUAAUUUUUUAAAAUAUAAAUAAAAAUUUAAUAAAAUUAAUAUUUUAUUGGGAGGAUAAUUAAAUUAAAUUAACUUUAAAAUUAAUAUUAAACAUUAAUUUAUGGAAAUUUGAAUAAUUUUUUUAUUAUAAUAGGAAAAAUUAAUAGAAAAUUAAUUACCUUAGGGAUAACAGCGUAAUAUUUUUAAAAAGAUCAUAUUGAUAAAAAUGUUUGCGACCUCGAUGUUGAAUUAAAAUAAAAAUUAAAUGAAGAAGUUUAAUAUUUUA